AGUGAACGCUGGCGGUAGGCCUAACACAUGCAAGUCGAGCGGCAGCACAGUAAGAGCUUGCUCUUACGGGUGGCGAGUGGCGGACGGGUGAGGAAUACAUCGGAAUCUACUUUUUCGUGGGGGAUAACGUAGGGAAACUUACGCUAAUACCGCAUACGACCUACGGGUGAAAGCAGGGGAUCUUCGGACCUUGCGCGAUUGAAUGAGCCGAUGUCGGAUUAGCUAGUUGGCGGGGUAAAGGCCCACCAAGGCGACGAUCCGUAGCUGGUCUGAGAGGAUGAUCAGCCACACUGGAACUGAGACACGGUCCAGACUCCUACGGGAGGCAGCAGUGGGGAAUAUUGGACAAUGGGCGCAAGCCUGAUCCAGCCAUACCGCGUGGGUGAAGAAGGCCUUCGGGUUGUAAAGCCCUUUUGUUGGGAAAGAAAGGCAGCAGGUUAAUACCCCGCUGUUCUGACGGUACCCAAAGAAUAAGCACCGGCUAACUUCGUG
rnacentral:rRNA from 1 species